rnacentral:lncRNA from 1 species
GUGCAGGAAGUCGUUGUUGCCGUUUGAUCUAAACUUUCCACCGUUGGAUGAUGUCGAUUUUAACGGUGAUGAUGAUCUCCAAUGCACCGCUUUAUGUCUCUGAUGAUGGUUGAUCUUUGUCAUUAUUAUAUUUUUUUCCUUUUUUGUUUUUUCCCCUCUAUUAUUGUGCGGAAAAAAAAAUUAAGAUGAAAUGAUCUUAAUUCUACGAGAAUGAUGAUGAUGAUGAUGAUGGCAUGUUGUUAUUCGAAUCCCAAAAAAAAAAAAAAACAAAAUUAAUAUAUGAUGAUGAUGAUGAUGAUGAUCUUGUUGUUUAUUGGAACAAAAUGGAUUAGGGCUUGUGUUGUAAGGAGAUCUGGGUUUCUCGUAACUAGCCGUUAUUGAUAACAUGCUUUUAUCUAAAAAUUAUCUGAUUUCGUUUCACAUGAUGCUCUUGCAUAAAAGAAAAUUACAAGUUUUCAUCUGUUCUUGUACUCUCCAUGUAUAUGUAUUGGUAUUACAGAUUGUUACCUGAAUCUUCGUUUCGGUUUUGUUCUUUUGUUCAUUUUGCGGAGCAUAAUAUGUCUUGUGACUUAUGAAGUUCCUUCUGUGAAGAAAUUCUUUACAGCCGCUGCUAAUGAUAUCUUUGCAUGAAACUGCUUUUGCUUUUUCAUUGGUUCAAUAGAGGUUCUCUUGUGACUUGUGAGGAAUGAUGGUUGAAUUUUUUUUUUUUUUUUUAAAUACAAACAAGAUCUAUCCAACUAUCCACAGUAGGAAAGUAUAUGAAAUCAAUCAGCAUUUGAACUAUGAUUCAUCAUUCAUACGUUG